rnacentral:rRNA from 1 species
UGGGGAAUAUUGGACAAUGGGCGCAAGCCUGAUCCAGCCAUGCCGCGUGAGUGAUGACGGCCUUAGGGUUGUAAAGCUCUUUCGCUCGGGACGAUAAUGACGGUACCGAGAUAAGAAGCCCCGGCUAACUUCGUGCCAGCAGCCGCGGUAAUACGAAGGGGGCUAGCGUUGUUCGGAAUUACUGGGCGUAAAGCGCGUGUAGGCGGGUCUUUAAGUCAGGGGUGAAAUGCCAAGGCUCAACCUUGGAACUGCCUUUGAUACUGGAGACCUUGAGUCCGGGAGAGGUGAGUGGAAUUGCGAGUGUAGAGGUGAAAUUCGUAGAUAUUCGCAAGAACACCAGUGGCGAAGGCGGCUCACUGGCCCGGAACUGACGCUGAGACGCGAAAGCGUGGGGAGCAAACA